rnacentral:rRNA from 1 species
UACGUAGGGGGCAAGCGUUGUCCGGAAUCAUUGGGCGUAAAGAGCGUGUAGGCGGCUCGGUAAGUCCGCUGUGAAAGUCCAGGGCUCAACCCUGGAAAGCCGGUGGAAACUGUCGAGCUCGAGUCCGGAAGAGGCGAGUGGAAUUCCUGGUGUAGCGGUGAAAUGCGCAGAUAUCAGGAAGAACACCAAUGGCGAAGGCAGCUCUCUGGGACGGUACUGACACUGAGACGCGAAAGCGUGGGGAGCGAACAGG